AGUCGAGGGGCAGCACGUCUUCGGAUGGUGGCGACCGGCGCACGGGUGCGUAACGCGUAUGCAACCUACCUUACACUGGGGUAUAGCCCGGAGAAAUUCGGAUUAAUCCCCCAUGGUACUUUUGAAUGGCAUCAUUUGGAAGUUAAAGUAUUACGGUGUAAGAUGGGCAUGCGUCCUAUUAGCUAGAUGGUAAGGUAACGGCUUACCAUGGCUACGAUAGGUAGGGGGCCUGAGAGGGUGGUCCCCCACACUGGUACUGAGACACGGACCAGACUCCUACGGGAGGCAGCAGUGAGGAAUAUUGGUCAAUGGGCGCAAGCCUGAACCAGCCAUGCCGCGUGCAGGAAGAAUGCCCUAUGGGUUGUAAACUGCUUUUAUUUAGGAAUAAACCUUUCUACGUGUAGAAAGCUGAAGGUACUGAAUGAAUAAGCACCGGCUAACUCCGUGCCAGCAGCCGCGGUAAUACGGAGGGUGCAAGCGUUAUCCGGAAUCAUUGGGUUUAAAGGGUCCGCAGGCGGAUUUAUAAGUCAGUGGUGAAGUCCUAUCGCUUAAUGAUAGAACUGCCAUUGAUACUGUAAGUCUUGAAUUCGGUCGAAGUGGGCGGAAUGUGUAGUGUAGCGGUGAAAUGCAUAGAUAUUACACAGAACACCGAUAGCGAAGGCAGCUCACUAGGCCUGGAUUGACGCUCAGGGACGAAAGCGUGGGGAUCAAACAGGAUUAGAUACCCUGGUAGUCCACGCUGUAAACGAUGAUUACUCGUUUUCGGCGAUAUACAGUCGGAGACUAAGCGAAAGUGAUAAGUAAUCCACCUGGGGAGUACGAUCGCAAGGUUGAAACUCAAAGGAAUUGACGGGGGCCCGCACAAGCGGUGGANCAUGUGGUUUAAUUCGAUGAUACGCGAGGAACCUUACNAGGCUUAAAUGCAAGUUGCAUGAUGUGNAAACAUGUCAGUCUUCGNANAUUU
rnacentral:rRNA from 1 species